GACGAACGCUGGCGGCGUGCCUAAUACAUGCAAGUCGAACGAAGUGGCGAACGGGUGAGUAAUACGUGAGUAACCUGCCCUCCUCUUUGGGAUAAGCCUUGGAAACGGGGUCUAAUACCGAAUAAAGGGGGAUGGGCUCGCGGCCUAUCAGCUUGUUGGUGGGGUGAUGGCCUACGAGGGCGGUGACGGGUAGCCGGCCUGAGAGGGUGACCGGCGACAUUGGGACUGAGAUACGGCCCAGAGUCCUACGGGAGGCAGCAGUGUGGGAAAUUGGACAAUGGGCGAAAAGCUGAUGCAGCGGCGCCGCGUGGGGGAUGAAGGCUUUCGGGUUGUAAACCUCUGUAGCGAACGAACGGGUAGGUGGAGAGAAAGCGCCGGCUAACUACGUGCCAGCAGCCGCGGUAAUUC
rnacentral:rRNA from 1 species